rnacentral:misc_RNA from 1 species
AAGGAGUCUAACGUCUAUGCGAGUGUUUGGGUGUAAAACCCGUAUGCGGAAUGAAAGUGAUCGUAGAUGAGAUCCCUUUAGGCGCAUCAUCGACCGAUCCUGAUGUUUGGGGAUGGAUUUGAGUAAGAGCAUAGCUGUUGGGACCCGAAAGAUGGUGAACUAUGCCUGAAUAGGGUGAAGCCAGAGGAAACUCUGGUGGAGGCUCGUAGCGAUACUGACGUGCAAAUCGUUCGUCAAACUUGGGUAUAGGGGCGAAAGACUAAUCGAACCAUCUAGUAGCUGGUUCCGGC